GGGCAAGUCCUGUACGGCCAGCUCCCGGGGAACUCCUCCAGGACGGGAACGUAGCAAAGGUACUUGGUUGUAGCGGCGCGAUGCAGACCGCUUG
rnacentral:SRP_RNA from 1 species